CCUACGGGCGGCAGCAGUCGAGAAUCAUUCACAAUGGGGGAAACCCUGAUGGUGCGACGCCGCGUGGGGGAAUGAAGGUCUUCGGAUUGUAAACCUCUGUCAUGUGGGAGCAAAUUAAAAAGAUAGUACCACAAGAGGAAGAGUCGGCUAACUCUGUGCCAGCAGCCGCGGUAAUACAGAGGUCUCAAGCGUUGUUCGGAAUCACUUGGCGUAAGGGGUGCGUAGGCUGUUUCGUAAGUCGUGUGUGAAAGGCGCGGGCUCAACCCGCGGACGGCACAUGAUACUGGGAGACUAGAGUAAUGGAGGGGGAACCGGAAUUCGCGGUGUAGCAGUGAAAUGCGUAGAUAUCGAGAGGAACACUCGUGGCGAAGGCGGGUUCCUGGACAUUAACUGACGCUGAGGCACGAAGGCCAGGGGAGCGAAAGGGAUUAGAUACCCCAGUAGUC
rnacentral:rRNA from 1 species